rnacentral:rRNA from 1 species
UACGAAGGGGGCUAGCGUUGCUCGGAAUCACUGGGCGUAAAGGGUGCGUAGGCGGGUCUUUAAGUCAGGGGUGAAAUCCUGGAGCUCAACUCCAGAACUGCCUUCGAUACUGAAGAGCUCGAGUCCGGGAGAGGUGAGUGGAACUGCGAGUGUAGAGGUGAAAUUCGUAGAUAUUCGCAAGAACACCAGUGGCGAAGGCGGCUCACGGGCCCGGUACUGACGCUGAGGUGCGAAAGCGUGGGAGCAAACAGG